rnacentral:scRNA from 1 species
CUCACUGGCUCGGCACCGCAGCGGCCAUUGGC